GCUGGGCGUGGUGGUGCAUGCCUGUAAUCCUAGCUGCUUGAGAGGCUGAGGCAAGAGGAUCACAGAUUCAAAGCUAGCCUCAGCAAUUUAGCCAGGGCCUGAGCAACUUAGUGAGAUCCUGUCUCUA
rnacentral:sRNA from 1 species